GGCAUGUCCCUUUCAUAACUCUUCCUAUCCUUCCUUAACAAUGUGUAUAAAUUGAGAUUAUAGAAACUCUCAAUCCCUAAUCAUUAGAGGUUAAGACCAGCAAUCCCAAUGCACCAAUAAGUAUGUACUGCAAUAACAACGAAACAGAGUGAGUUGAAUCAAACCAUCCAAAAUUGGAUUUAAAAGUAAAUUCUCUUUUUGGGGAUAAAAAGAAAAAAGACAACCAUAUGCCCACCUAGACAGUCUUUUGGUUAUUCUUUCUUCCUCUUUUUUUCCAACAAAACUCAUAUCUCAGGUGUAAAAUUGUAACAUCAUGAAAUCUAAACUAAAUUGAAACUGAAUUAUAUGUAACAUUUUGAACCUAUGAAUCAAAUAUAAACAAUAAGGUAUUUUUCGCUAAUUAUGAAAUCAAGCAAGAUGAGGACUUGUAAGUUUUCAACAAGUUCAAACCUUGAUUAUAGGCAUGUCUGUCAUGAUAAUUGUUGCAUAUCCAACAUAUGGCAAGAAACUGCAAACGAAGAAUAAAAAUGUUAGAGCAAGAGGACUGUCUAUUUCUUUCCCUAUUUCUAAACAGCUUGUAUAAAAUAGAGCCUUCUAAUGCACAUCAAGCUGACGACUAUGGUUAGAAUUCGGAAAAUCAACAAGUAUAAGCAUGUUCAGGACUCGUUGAUUUAUCAAUAGUUCUUGCAAAUUUACCCGAUGGCUUUUCCCAUUAAGUGUUGUCUUUGCAACCAAAGCUGAUUCUCAGCAUAUAGUGGAAUAUCAUCAUAUUCAUUAUUGUCACCUGGAAGUUUAACACAAAAGAAACAAGCAAAGUUCAUCGUUAAACAUUCAGCAAAAUAAUUUCAUUCCAAUUCAAAACCAUAUCAUCCUCCCUUAACAAGUUUUUUGAACUUAUGGUUCAUGUUCAAGUACCUUUUGUAAGAAAAUAAACUUCUCCUGUAUCUUUGGUCUCAUGAACCUGAUAAGAAUUACAUUUUAUGUAAAUCAAAGUUACAGUUAAACAUCUAAAGUGUUUAAGCAAGGUUUAAAAUGGAUAUUUCUAAAAACAAUUAUAUAAACAAGCAAAUUAAUAUUAAAAUUAAGAAAAAGGUUUCGUUUUUUAAAUAAGUUGAAAGUUUAAAACACUUGCUAAUAACCUUGUGCACACAUUUUGUUGCUUAUUUUUUUAUGUUUCAUCGAUUUCUUUUGUGAUACAAUGGAAAUUUUGAUUCAUCCAUUAUGUGAAUGUCAUAUAAAGACAUUGUUAGAAAAUUAAUACACUAAUCUUAUCACGACUAUUGAUGACUUUUUUUCUUUAGAAACCAAGGAAAUUGAGAAUUUGUAGGGUGAGCUAAACUAUGACAAAUGAAGAUUUAUCUUUGUUUCUUUGCUAUAGGUCAACUUAUUUGCAAUAAGUUCAAGGGAACUUUAAGCAGUGGAAACAAAAUGGAAAUAUUGGACUUCUCCUUUCACAGGUAACUAAUGGCUUCCUGCUGAGCACUACAACUUCAUAAUUCUAAAAUGAAAUUGUGGCUGUGUUGAAAAAACCAUCUAGUGAAACAUAAAUUCCUUGAAUGAAACAAGAUAUCUCUAAUGAAAUAAGUUGUCUGCACACUUAGUACAAUGUAAAGAUAGAGAAAUUUUACUGAAAACCUUACCUUGAUUACACGAUGGACGAUUGGAAUGUCACGUCCCUGGCAAAUGCUACAAAGGGAUGUUAGUAGACAAUUUACAAAUGUUGGAAGUGACAUGAAAUAUGUUUAAAUUGAAAGCAACACUAACUAAUCAAAAAGGUUCUUCAUGUAUUUACGAUACGACAUAAUGUGUAAAUUAGAUUUUUCUAGAGUUAUGUUGAAAUAUGUGGAUUAUAAAUAAAUACCACAAAAGUAAGGUUCUAGAAGUGUUAUAACCUUUCUUUAGGCUCCAACCAAUUCGAGAAUUCUCUUCGAUAAUGGUUCGCUCAUAAAAGUAUCUUGAAUACAAUGGAUUCAAAAAAAGCCUAGAAUUUUUUUUUACUUGGGGUCCAAGGAUCUCAUGCUUAUAAAUGGGAGGCGUGUCUCUAUACAUAAGCCAAGCUAAAAAGUUAAACAAGUUUAGAGUGAGGAAAAGUGAGUGAGUGCUGAGAGAGUGAAAAAGUUUCUUUUACUUUCGUAAUAAUAGUUUCUUUCUUCCAAGUGUCUGUCUCUAUUCCUUUUGUGUUAAUUUCUUUAACAAUGUUAAACAAUUAACCCAAAAGAAGCCGUUUGAAGUUUAUAACUCCAAAACUUAUAAGUAAUAGACAACAUAAACUUCUCUAAACACAAACAGUGAUAUGAACGUGACCCAAAAUAUUGAAUGUUAAGACUUUGUUUAAUAAUCAUUUGGAUUUUUGUUUUUGAUUUUUAAAAGUUAAGCUUGUAAACACUAGUUCUACCUAUUGGUUCUUUUUUUUUAUUUAUCUAUUUUUAAGGAUAUUUUUAAAAUCCAGCCUUCAAAAACUAAAAAACUAUAUUUUUUAAAGCUCGCUUUAGUUCUUGAAAUCCAACUAUGAAUUUAAAUGCUUCCAUAGAAGAGAUGAAAGUCAUGGUAAAGAAAUUGUUAGGAAAAAAAUCAAAAUUUUCAACUGUCAAAUAGUUAACAAUGAGACUUAGAAGUUGCAAGUUACAAGGAAAGGAGUCGUAACUAGACCAAUAUAAAGAUUAUUCCCUUAUUCAAAGUCAAUUAGCAAUAAGAGGUGAACGAGGUAAAUCAUCAAUACAAAUCAAAGUAAGGAAAAGAAAUACUACCAUCUUUACAAAGAAGAGGAAACCUAUUCAUUCCCCUACCAGAAAAUGGAAUUCCAAGACAUUGCAAAAUCCAAAUUGCUUUCAUAACGAAAGACUAACUAUAACCAGUGUAGAAAUGUAUCACGUUAGCUCAUGAAAAAUGAGAGUAUGAGACGAGAGUUACCUCGAUGUUAUACACAACGAUUUCCCCUGUGCGAAUUGGAUCCUUGUUCAUGUGGAGGAAUAGAAUAUCGCCCUGCACCAGAUAAAACUCAUCAUAGGAAGCUAAACCAAAACUAUCAUAAGCUUUCCCCCAUUAGCUGUUAGCCACUGUGUACUAUCAGAUAUUCUAGCAGAGCUGGGUGAAUAUAAACCAAUAUGAAGCACUGGAGAAGUAUGAAUUAGGUUAAAUUACAAAGCCCCUCAACUUUGAGGUCUGUGUUGAAGUUUCAAAUUUUCAAAUUUAUUCUUUGAAUUUUGACAUAAAAUUCUAAUUUAUAUCUAAUAGAUCAAUUAACUUUUUGAAAGUUUCAAAUUUAGGAGGGAUCCAUAGACAUAAAAUUGAAAAUUCAAUGACCUAUUAAACAUUUUGAAAAUUCAAAAACCAAACCGACACAAACUUCAUAGUUUAGAGACAAAACUUGUGAUUUAACCUUUUGAAUUAAUAUUCUACCCCAGUAACAUAAUCAACUAAAAAGCUAGAGUCUAAUAUUUAAGAACCAAAGUUUUUUUCUUUUCAUUUCAUUCCUUUUUCCUAAUAACAAGCUAUUGAGUCUUAGCAUUAUGUUCACAGGCAUGCCCUCCACAAAAUCCUAGAGAUUCGAAGCAAGUUCAAUCGACAAUAAAGUGUUUCAAGAUAAUAUGUUUUCAAUCUCAGACUAUCUAUAGUUCAUAGUUGUAAGAACGCGACUCCAACAAUGUCUGUUUCAUAUGGUGAGAUUCCAUAACAUCUAAGAUCCAAAAAAUCCACGGCACACGUGAUUUAAAUGUUGAUACAAAAGAUGAAAAAACUAAAAAUUUUAUAUAACGAAAGGCAGUUCUGUAUCGAUAGUUCAAGUAAAUGCAUAGUUAAAGUUAGAAUCAAUCGACUUAGGGAAUUAAUGGAAACUUGCAUAUGUAAUAGGAUCAGCUCACCCUAGCAAAACCAGGUUCCAUACUUCCAGUGAGUACAACCACCACAGGGGACACACUGCCUGUCCAGCAAAUCAGUCCUUUCCAAAUCAUCAACGCAGACGAAACGAUCAAACCUGAUAGAUUACGAUACUGUUCUUAGAGCAAAGGAAUGCAGAAGUCAAAUGCAUGUUGUAGUUGGAUUCCAGUACUUCGAAGUUUGAAUAGAAACAAAACACAGACAAAAUGAAGAUAUUUGAACUAAGAUUUUAAGCUCCGUGCUCAAAUUUUGUUAAAACUUGACAGUUGUAUCUAUUUAGUUCUGAAGUUAAAACACUCAUUUGUGCCUCUAAA
rnacentral:lncRNA from 1 species